AGGAUGAACGCUGGCGGUCUGCUUAACACAUGCAAGUCGAACGGAGUAGCAAUACUUAGUGGCGGACGGGUGAGUAACGCGUGAGAAUCUACCUUCAGGACGGAGACAACAGUUGGAAACGACUGCUAACCCCCGAUGUACCGAAAGGGCAAAUAUUUAUAGCCUGAAGAAGAGCUCGCGUCCGAUUAGCUAGUUGGAGAGGUAAAAGCUCACCAAGGCGACGAUCGGUAGCUGGUCUGAGAGGACGAUCAGCCACACUGGGACUGAGACACGGCCCAGACUCCUACGGGAGGCAGCAGUGGGGAAUUUUCGUCAAUGGGGGCAACCCUGAACGAGCAACGCCGCGUGCAGGAAGAAGGUUUUCGGAUCGUAAACUGCUUUUCUCGGGGAAGAGAACGGACGGUACCCGAGGAAUCAGCCCGGCUAACUACGCGCCAGCAGCCGC
rnacentral:rRNA from 1 species